UACGUAGGGUGCGAGCGUUGUCCGGAAUUAUUGGGCGUAAAGGGCUCGUAGGCGGUUUGUCGCGUCGGGAGUGAAAACACUGGGCUUAACCGAGUGCUUGCUUCCGAUACGGGCAGACUUGAGGCAUUCAGGGGAGAACGGAAUUCCUGGUGUAGCGGUGAAAUGCGCAGAUAUCAGGAGGAACACCGGUGGCGAAGGCGGUUCUCUGGGAAUGUUCUGACGCUGAGGAGCGAAAGUGUGGGGAGCGAACAGGAUUAGAUACCCGCGUAGUCC
rnacentral:rRNA from 1 species